ACGUAGGGUGCGAGCGUUAAUCGGAAUUACUGGGCGUAAAGCGUGCGCAGGCGGUUUUGUAAGCCAGAUGUGAAAUCCCCGGGCUUAACCUGGGAAUGGCAUUUGGGACUGCAAGGCUCGAGUGCGGCAGAGGAGACUGGAAUUCCCGGUGUAGCGGUGAAAUGUGUAGAGAUCGGGAGGAACACCGGUGGCGAAGGCGGGUCUCUGGGCAUUUCCUGACGCUGAGGCGCGAAAGCGUGGGGAGCAAACGGGA
rnacentral:rRNA from 1 species